rnacentral:lncRNA from 1 species
AGUCCAAUGCCACAAACCAAUCUCUUUGAAUUCAAACUCCAAAGCAGCUUCAUUGGCAUUCCAAUUGAAGGUCCAGAACAUGAGCACCAAAACUUCAAAACAGUUCCAAAAUGGCCCUUGGACCCGAGCUAACUCACAUACCGCAUCGCCGAGUCAACCUGCCAAUUCAAACCACGAGUCAGCAUUGCAUAGCAGGCCAGCAACUGCAAAAC